rnacentral:rRNA from 1 species
CAAUAGCGUAUAUUAAAGUUGUUGCAGUUAAAAAGCUCGUAGUUGGAUUUCUGAUCGAGACAUCAGGUCGGGUCCGAGAGGAUCAUGUACUUUGAUUUUGUUUUGAUCAUCCUUGGGGAGAGCAUUUCUGGCAUUCAGUUGUCGGGAUUGGGAUCCUCAUCGUUUACUGUGAAAAAAUUAGAGUGUUCAAAGCAGGCCUCGGCCUCUGAAUACAUUAGCAUGGAAUAAUAAGAUAGGACUUUGGUGGUCUAUUUUGUUGGUUUGCACGCCAAAGUAAUGACUAAUAGGGAUAGUUGGGGGUAUUCGUAUUCAAUUGUCAGAGGUGAAAUUCUUGGAUUUAUGGAAGACGAACUACUGCGAAAGCAUUUACCAAGGAUGUUUUCAUUAA